rnacentral:rRNA from 1 species
UACGGAGGGUGCAAGCGUUACCCGGAAUCACUGGGCGUAAAGGGCGUGUAGGCGGAUCACUCAGUCUGGUUUUAAAGACCGGGGCUCAACCCCGGGCAUGGACUGGAUACUGGUGAUCUUGACCUCUGGAGAGGUAGCUGGAAUUCCUGGUGUAGCGGUGGAAGUGGCGUAGAUACCGAGGAGGAACACCAAUGGCGAAGGCAGGCUACUGGACAGAAGGUGGACGGCU